rnacentral:rRNA from 1 species
GAUGAACGCUGGCGGCGUGCCUAAUACAUGCAAGUCGAGCGAACGGACGAGAAGCUUGCUUCUCUGAUGUUAGCGGCGGACGGGUGAGUAACACGUGGAUAACCUACCUAUAAGACUGGGAUAACUUCGGGAAACCGGAGCUAAUACCGGAUGAUAUUUUGAACCGCAUGGUUCAAAAGUGAAAGACGGUCUUGCUGUCACUUAUAGAUGUAUCCGCGCUGCAUUAGCUAGUUGGUAAGGUAACGGCUUACCAAGGCAACGAUGCAUAGCCGACCUGAGAGGGUGAUCGGCCACACUGGAACUGAGACACGGUCCAGACUCCUACGGGAGGCAGCAGUAGGGAAUCUUCCGCAAUGGGCGAAAGCCUGACGGAGCAACGCCGCGUGAGUGAUGAAGGUCUUCGGAUCGUAAAACUCUGUUAUUAGGGAGGAACAUAUGUGUAAGUAACUGUGCACAUCUUGACGGUACCUAAUCAGAAAGCCACGGCUAACUACGUG